rnacentral:tRNA from 1 species
GGCGGGAUAGCUCAGUUGGCUAGAGCACACGGUUCAUACCCGUGGUGUCGCUGGUUCAAAUCCUGUUCCCGCUA